rnacentral:rRNA from 1 species
GACGAACGCUGGCGGCGUGCCUAAUACAUGCAAGUAGAACGCUGAAGGAGGAGCUUGCUUCUCUGGAUGAGUUGCGAACGGGUGAGUAACGCGUAGGUAACCUGCCUGGUAGCGGGGGAUAACUAUUGGAAACGAUAGCUAAUACCGCAUAAGAGUAGAUGUUGCAUGACAUUUGCUUAAAAGGUGCAAUUGCAUCACUACCAGAUGGACCUGCGUUGUAUUAGCUAGUUGGUGGGGUAACGGCUCACCAAGGCGACGAUACAUAGCCGACCUGAGAGGGUGAUCGGCCACACUGGGACUGGGACACGGCCCAGACUCCUACGGGAGGCAGCAGUAGGGAAUCUUCGGCAAUGGACGGAAGUCUGACCGAGCAACGCCGCGUGAGUGAAGAAGGUUUUCGGAUCGUAAAGCUCUGUUGUAAGGGAAGAACGAGUGGGAGAGUGGAAAGUUCACACUGUGACGGUAUCUUACCAGAAAGGGACGGCUAACUACGUG